rnacentral:rRNA from 1 species
CGCGUAGGCGGCUCUGUUUGUCGCGUGUGAAAGCCCCGGGCUCAACCUGGGAGGUGCGCGCGAGACGGCGGGGCUGGAGUUCGGGAGAGGAGCGUGGAAUUCCCAGUGUAGAGGUGAAAUUCGUAGAUAUUGGGAAGAACACCGGUGGCGAAGGCGGCGCUCUGGACCGAGACUGACGCUGAGGCGCGAAAGCGUGGGGAGCAAACAGGAUUAGAUACCCUGGUAGUCCACGCCGUAAACGAUGUGUGCUAGACGUUGGGAGGCCUAGCCUCUCGGUGUCGCAGCCAACGCGGUAAGCACACCGCCUGGGGAGUACGGCCGCAAGGUUAAA